GGACUACUACUAGUUGGGGAAGUUAGUAAAGCAAGGGCCAGGGAGUCUACCAGAUCAAAUGCUUAAGCUGUACCAUAAGGAAAGAGCAGAAUCCAAUAUAGAGUAAGCAACUAGUGGUUCUCGGUGAUGUUGGCGAGACUCGAGAGAAAGAAUGUCUUUACCCGACCUCUACUUAUAGUUAUUAUCCCGAGUAGUGGACUGUUUCCCACUUGAUAGUUUCAUUCUCUGUACUGACAGAAACACUAGCACCCGACCCAGAGAGUAAGCAUAAGUGAGUUCUCAUAUGGAAAUAGUAAUGUACUUUACUCUGCCCCGCCCUCUAUCAGAAAGGGAGUGGAAAGGUUUACUGCUCGUUAAGUCUAGGCCCUUAUAGUCAGAAUAAGAAUAAAGUAAAGGCUAGGAAGCAAGCCAUAGAGCAUAACCAGAAGCCCAAGAAACAAGAAUAAAUGAGUGGAUAAGAGGGGUAAGAAGUAGUCCCUUAAGUGAGAAUUGAGCUAUUAACUGUCAGAUUGAAACACUGCCCCAACAGACUCCACUCUACUAGGAAAAAGGAGUCCAACCACUGAGUAACGGAAUCGAACAAGUAAUAGUUGGAAUCCCACUACGACGAAUAAGACAACCACUUUAAAGGAAUCCAAAUGCAACUAAUGAUAAGAAUGGAACCGGGGCAUUGUAGGAUGAAAGUUUCAAUCAAAAGAGUGGAGCUGCUACUUAUCAUAUUGGUACUAGAGCCUAGGAAAUCCAAGACUAUAGUAAUUGAACUCACCAUAACAAGACCUUAGUUAAUGACUUCGAUUCUGACUUGUUAAUGAAAAUACCUCCCUCCAGGCUUUCAUUCUAUACCUAGCGAUCCACUUAUUCGUUUGAAAACGACCUCUUUGCUUUGAGUCUGGGUUGUUAGCUUCAGUAUCAGUGAGUUAGGUUACGCUCUAGCGCAGUAUAAUACAUGUAUUUCGGACUACAAUAUAUGGUUAGUAUAACAUAGGACCAAACAAAACAGUAAGUUAAGGUACGGAUCUAGUAAGUAUGGAUACUAAGCAUAGGUACAAUCUAUAGUGCAUCUAGCAAUGAAUCCAAGAAAAGGGAAUUCCACUGGCGCUUCUCAUGCUUUUACUUAUGACUUAGAAUAGGACUCCCACUAACGAGGCUCCCACUGCUGACUCAUAGCCUGUCCUUACAGUUCUAUAACCUUGCUUUACAGCCUGUGAGCUUUACCUUCCCGCCUUGCAUUCUGAAACUCCUUUCUUUCAUGCUUAGAUGAGGUGCUCUAAUACUUUUACUUAUCGUUUUAGUAAGUAGUAAGCUUACAGUAGUAGCGAUAAGAACUCAAAUAAUAAUAAAGAAUAACCUAAGCCAGAACCCGACUCCUUUCUUAAGGUCUUGUUGCUGGGGGGUGCAUUCACUCUUUAGCUCCAGCCUUGUAUUCUCUAGUUCGAGGGAUCUGGCCUAGACUCCUUGCUUCUUGGGUUUAGUAUGAAAAUGACUGCUUCCAGGGUAUGGUAUGAGUAUGCUUAUAGCCCGUAUUCCUUACUUGAGAGUUUUGGGCACCAGCCCUUAUGUUACUAAUGGGGCGAAUUCUGUGUUUUCACUUGCAAUCUUAGACCCCCUUUCUUUCAUUCCGAGUUUCCUGUCUCUCGUUCUCCAACUACUCACUAAAAGAAUCCAACUAAGAAUAAAGAACUCAAUCCGCAAAAGCGAGGCUGUAACUACUGCUUCUAUUACUUUAACCGCUACUGGAAAGAAUGAAAACACCGAUAACAGGAAUCGAGCCCGGAACUAAGCCUUGAGCGACUAUUUAGAAGGUGGAUUCAAGUCUAUCUCUACUUCUAACCUUGUCCUAAUACUUGACCUAGUGCUUCUCAUCCUUUGACUUAUAACAUGGAAUGGCCACCUAACAUGGAAUUGAACUACCGCCUUAAAGAGUGGAACCACCGCUAACAAUAAUGGAACUAGUAAAAGCAAGACAGCAACCAGGGCUUUGAAGCGGGAAAGAAAGAAUAGAACUAAGUAGGCAAAGAAUGUAACUAGCAACUCCACCUCCUCUUGAAAUAAGCCCAGUAGUAGAACCAAGUCCUGUGUGAAACUGGAAAGGAAGCACUAACGGGAGCAAGAUCGGUCUACUUAAAAUGCAUUAUUUCUCAUCGCCAAGAUGUUUUUCGAAGUAUUGUUGCUUGGCCCUUACUUGCUUUAGUUGCUGGUUUGCUCUUUCUCUGGGCUCUAUAAACAAAGAAGAAAACUCCAAUUAAGUAGAACAAUGAAAAUAGGACUAAUCUGAAUGAAACUCUAGUUGAUGAAACUUACACUCGGGGGAUUCUACUAAAACUGAGUCACUGCCAGAUUCUCUUGCACCUCGUUCAAGGAGCUAGAGCCAGCCUACUUAAGCUUUCUCACAAGCACAAUCACCUUUACCUUUCCACUUAGUGUUGUUGGGACAGUUUAGUUUAUUUCAUCUUUCGCCAGUCUAGAAGAUUGCCAGAACUCCCUGCCGCCCUGUUUCUUGUUGCGUAAGUCUGGACCAGUAGUAAAGUCAAACAUCAAUUUCUUCAUUCACUGCAUGUUCUCAAACAUCAAUUUAAGAACCAACUUGACAAGUGGAUCUACUAGACUUAACAAGCACCAAGAACUAAACGUUCCUCACCCCGACCUCUCCUCUCAAUUCUAACUUUAACUACUGAGUAGCCGGCUAACUGGUAUUAUUACUUAAGAGAACAGAACUACUUUCAACUACUCGACAAAGACACUCUCGACAAAGAGAUCAACUCAAACAAGAACAAGAGCUGGACGACUAUCUUAUUACCUGAACUCGACUCUGGACUCCCUUACCGACCUCGCCCAACUUCAAUCUAGGGGCAACUCGGGAUGGCGCCUAGGCCUAUAUAGAACCUGUCCGAGAAAGAACCUGUCCUGGCCCAGUGCUCUUAACCAAAGAAUAAGGUAACCCUUCGCGCAUUCCAUUACAAAGGAAAAGAGAGGAAACAAGCUAACCUUAGCAACUCCCUUAAGUAGACAAACUUGGACCGGACUUCUUCCUCACCUACUUCUUAAACAGUUCCCGUUAGCGCUAAACUCCAUUCUUCAUUUCAACAUUACAUUACGGGCAUGUUCUAAAGGAACCCUCAAGAUGUUAGGAAGAAAUGCAUUCAUUAUUUCAAAUAAAUAGAUGUUUUUAAUGUGAUUUACCAUAAGAGUGGUUUCCCCGCUUUGUUGCAGUUGCUUGCCCCAAGUGGUUUUGAAGUUAUUUCCAUCUUUAGUGUAAUUGGUUUUGGUGACUUCCAUAGCCUCUCUCUCUUUACUUACCUAGCUCUAGCUUAAGAAUGGAAUGGAAUGAGUUUACUUACUAGCCAAGCCUAUAACUCUCAAUCAGGUGAGUCGCCAACAAACACCUUACUUUAGAACAGCAGAUGCUCUGGUAAACUUUCCUCUGACUGGUGAUUCCACAACUAAUGAAGGGUAUUCCACUCGGUAUUCUGAAUCGACUUAACUGUCAACUCCCUUACACUGGACAACUACUAGGAACCGCUCCUGCCGCGCAACACAAACUAAGCUUGGCCCCGGGUUUUGUAAAACGAAUCCUGUGUUCGGCAACUACUUUUCUAUUACCUACGGAGUUUGGUUCUAUACUUACUCAUAGAUGCGAGAGAUCGUACCCAUAUUAUAAUACUAAUACGGAUGGGUGGGAAAGUCAGCCUAACAGUCGAACUACAGAAUAUAAGUAAUAAGUGGGAAGCUGGCUAAUAGGCAAGAAAGACCCCAGGAGAGCUGUCCUGUUAGCAGAAAUUGGAGGUUUCAAGCGAGUCAAGUCAGAAUAGGUGCUAUGGGAGGCAGCUUUGGGUUUUCUGUAGUUAAAGAAAGCAAGUGUGGCAGAGCAGACUCGUAGGCAGUGAAGCGAGGUUCUAGGUAAGUAAAGCAAGGUUCGAGAUCAGCAGUUACGGAAUGAGCUAAAGAGCACUUAGGCUGUCAGGCAUUAGUGGAAGAAUGAAGUGUGUGGGGAGCUAUACUUAGCUCGCGGGGAGAGCACGAUAGGCUUUAAGGCAAGGGUUUCGGUAUUGCCUUUGCUAGUUCCAUUCUGAUAGCUAUCAGUUCUAUUCUAAUAGUGAGUGUAUGGGCGGGCUAGCACAAGAGAAAGGGAAUGUGAGGAAGCAGUUGUCGGGUAAUCUUAAUCACUUAUAUGCGAUGCUCGAGAUAGAUUGGCAAGAGAGAGACUAAUUCCUAUGCUUGCUUAUAUGCUAUGUGCACGAGAUUUCAUGGAAUGGGUUUGGUCGGGAAUAUUUACAGAAGGACUCACUGAUAGGGGACCGUUUCUUACAAAAACUCCAACCAGCGAGCAACAUCGGUAAGGUAACGACUUGACACUGCAUAAAGGUUAUUUUGCUAUAAACCCAGAUGGAAUUCCCGUAUAACAGAAAGAGAAAGCUUAUUCACGUACUGUAACACAACACACCUGCUUUUUCGUUUGAGGUUUAGGCUGCUACCCCCUGUUGCAAAUGCAAAUAAGGAUAUUCUUUCGACUGUUUCUUUCCUUUCUACUUAACCGCUACAUGGGCAGUGGAUUCUACUGUUCCGAGAGACUUGACCCCAUUAGCUUCAGCGAUGGAUCCGAAGUCAACAAAUACAGAAUGGAAUCUACUUGGCGCUGAAGAGAACUCUGUUAGCUUUGCUUUAAGAGCUGGACUUUAGAAAGAAAGAAUUCAUUACUGCUACUAGCUUUCAUAGCCAUAGGAAACUACAAAUUAGGGGUAGGCAAAUGAGGGGUAGGCUAAGACUCACAUAGACCGACAUACAGUAAAUACUUAAAGGAGCUGUUGAGUCAGAUGUCGCAUUAGCCUGUUUUCAAAUAGGGUGAUUCUUGAAGUGGUCAUUUGUAAGCCAAGGAACGAACUUCUUAGCCAGAGCAACCAAAAAGGUAUUACUUCAUCUGUGCUCUUAGUAAGAAUGAAUCCACUGCUGGUGGAAGGUUGCAAGGAAUUGAAUAAGAAGCAUUGAAUAGGACAUGGAGUUAUGCCGGAAUCUAAGAACUGUAGGAGGUUGAAUCAAUAGUAGAAGAUAUCCACGAGCAGAAUGAAUGAAGCCAAUCAGAAGAUUAGUUGUUUCGAUGGACAUAUAAGGAGCUUUGAGCAAACUAACCUGUUGAGGAAGAGAAGGGGAAUGAAGCCAAUCAGAAUCUGAGUAAUGACGAUGGACAUAAGGGGCUUUGAGCAAACCUAUUGAGGAAGAGAAGGGGAAUGAAGCCAAUCUUUCCUGUUGGUUGAUGCGGAGUAGCACCUUCUUAUCUUUUGAUUGCUAGUAUGGAGAGAGAGAGAGGAGAAGGAAAGAAUAUGGAUUCGAACUAAUCAGACUAUCCAUAGAACCCCUAAAGGAGCACUAGACUGAUUGAGUUAUACUCAAGGAGCACUAGACUAAUUGAGUUAUAGCAGUACGUACCUUAUUAAGCAGUUGCAAUAGGUCCACGUAGCGGUACGGGCGAUUCUGUUACAUGUGCUCAACGGGCAGCCACGGAACUGCUAAAUCCCUCGUUAGACUCCUGUUCCGGUCAAUCAUGCUUGUAAGCCUUCAUCACACUUGGCAACCCGACUGAAGAAAUAGGGUGACGCGACUUGUGUAGCGAGGGGCGCCGUGGUCCCCCUAGCCCUACACGUAAUAAGAAGGUAGACAGCAAUAGAUCCAUGGUAGUUCUACCCAUUCGACUUUGUAGGAUGAAGCGAGCUAUACUCGCCCACUUAGAGCCAUCCAUUACCCCCUUGACUGAUGUCCUAUAAUUCAUUAGAAUCGUAAGUACCCAUCCCUUCAUCCGGGGCUCCACUCUGAAAAGUAACUGGACAAGAGCUGGUUAGCAAGACCCCAUAACAUGUACGCAUCGGCAAGAGGUUCUGCAGAGGUAAGGUACAAAUGAUCAGCCACAUCAGUCCACUACUUACAAAUUCCAGAUUCUAUAUCCAAUGCCAUUUCCGAUCUUGAUCAUAAAGAAAGAAAAGAAUGGAAUUGGAGGGGAUAAUCUAUGAGCUAUGUUAUAGAGAGAAUAUGAUAAGAUCCUCAGUUGUUGAUGUAGUUCCUUGUUCUUAGAUAGAUUUGAUUAGUGAGAAGUUCACUGUGGUCUAUGCACUAUGGUCUAGAAGUUCACUGUGGUCUAUGCACUAUGGUCUAGGAUAGGAGAGGGAUUCCCUUUAGAGAAGAAUUGGAGUAGAAAUUAUUCUAAGAGAAGGAGUGCCUUAAGAGCGAGCUUCUGGCUAAGAGCUUCUGGCUAAGAGAAGGAUGGGAGUAGAAACUAUUCUAAUAGAGGGAGGUCGGGUCGGGGUAAGAAAGAAGAAUUGGUUGACGCCGGUAGAGAAUAGAGUGGACUGGUUGGUAUUGAGAGGAAAGAAGUAGAAUCGAUUAGACAUAAGAAGAGAGUGGACUGGUAUUGCACUAAAGAAUCGAGUUGACUGGAACCAGCAAGAGAAGAGGCUAUAAGAAGGAAGGAAAGGUAGAGUUCGGGUAUAGCUUGUGUCUAAGGAAGAAAGUGGAGUUGAGUACGAAAGUCAGUAAGCAAAUGAUUCUUCAAGUAACGUUAGGGUUCGAGUUAAGUCGUAUCAAGAAGGAUUCUCAAAAGGAUCAUCCGCAGGAACAAGAACAAGGUCAGGAACCAGAACUAAAAGAGACUCUCCUAAAGCUAAUUGAUACCGCGUAUUUAUUGAGUUCACAAGCCAAGCACUACAAGGGAACAGCGCAAACUAGCAAGGAUUUCUGGAACUCCACUCUCUAACGGAUGAGAUAGGAAUGCAUCAACUAUUUCAUUGUAGAGAGGCCCGGCUUUUAUGAUUUCCGGGUUCCUAAAGAAAGAGAAGGGCUUUAUUCAGAAAGGAAGAGGGUAUGAACUCCUAAAUGGUUUUUGAGCCUAUACUUAUUGCUUGCCUUCUGCUGCUGCUCUACUAUAAUAUCGGUUGUAACUCUUCCAAUUGACAUAGUGACAUGACACUUCUGAUUAGCCCUACAAUACAUGAUUUGCCAUAGCUAAUUCUAUAAAGGAGGGGUGAAAGAAAGACUCCCAUUUCUAUAUAUUGAAAGAAAGACUCCCAUUUCUAUAUAUGUAGAAAGGACACAACCUUUUUAGAAACACAGAAAGACUACGAGACUUGAGAUUAUCCAUCCACUGUUACAAGAAUGGUAUGUGCCUCCAUUAGGAAGAGAGGGAUAAUGUUACUAUGUUUCGGUUGAAGUGGAGUUGAACGUGAAUAAUUGUUAGAAAUUACCCACUUGUGUAUCCUUCUGUUCCUAAGGGAAGGGGCUAUCUCAUAUAACAGAAAGAAAGCAUUUCUUAAGUGAAAAGGUAUUUCAUUCCAAUAUUCUGAUCUGAAACUAUUAUAUCACCCCUAGGAGUCUCAAAAGAAGUGUAUCUUGCUAUUGGUAUCAAUCGGUCCUCUCUUGACUUUUGGUGGUAUAGCCAUGACCCUUAUUCUGAAUCUUUCGGUUGCUUAGGGCGCCCUGAGGGAUUCUACUCUUGUCUUGGAGAAGAGUUAUUGAGCACAUAGCUUGGGUACUAUAAGGGAUAAGAGUUAUUGAGCACAUAGCUUGGGUACUAUAAGUGAGUUUCUGAUCGUAUCAUUCAGGCAGAGCCUUGGUUGGGUCCCUUAGUCUUAUGUAUAGCGCAGCUCCCUCCAAGUUUCUUUUGCUAGUUUUGUUCCGAUCGAUGAAGGAUACUUUACUUGUGGGUUCGGAUUCGUUUUCCUAUUUCACAGGGACUUGUAUAUCAAUUCUGUCGGUGCUUCAAUAUUGUCUUGAUUGGCAGUGCAGUUUCUUAUUGUCUUGAUUGUUCUUAUUGUCUUGAUUGGCAGUUUCUUUCUUUUGAAUCUUCAGAGAGACCCUUAGAGUUCUGUCCGGGAGGGUUUGUGAGUAAACUAUGUAUCAAACCGUAAGUGAAGCGGUCUACAAAGAAUACUUUCCAUCUUCCUUCUUUGGCGCAGCUGGAGAUGCCCCACAAGGCCUUAUUUCUCAAGAUUGAAUUAUUCGCGAAAGGAAGCCGGCAAUAGAAAGCAAGCAACCUUUUUGAAUCCAUUGAAGUAGGUGGCCGUGUACACUAGGUAUCAACAAAGCAAAGGACGCUUUCUCUCACCUAACUCUUCGCCUUCGGCUUUCCAUUGAAUGAUCUAUCAGGUGUGCUAUUUAGACUCUGUCAGUUGGGGCUUAUCCCUUUUCAAUAUACAUGGCAUAUACUUACACGAAUAUUCCAACUCAUCGACUCCGCUCAAAGCAUAUGAUCAAAGCUAGAGUGGCGCACAUAGCACAAGAGACUAAUGGAAUUCUCGUUGACCUGACCGGCAGUAAUAGCGAACAAAGACUGUUCUAAUGGAAAAGGGCGAGUACCUCUUUGUGGUAGAUAACGCAACCGAACAAGAAAUUAUGCUUUAAGUAUAGCAAAGCAUCUGGGCGAGCCCCUACACCCGGAAACUGCCAGCGAAUCAUAACUGAACAAGAGGAAGUAGAGCGUCUCACUACUAUAUAUGCUGUACCACAUACGAAGACCCAAAGCCGUUCUUUCUUUAUAGAAGUCCCCAGGACUUUAAGUGCUCAAUGGAAUUUUCCUUGAAAACGAUUCCCUUUACUUCUAGACGAACUGGUUAAUAUUGAACUUGAGUUUAUUCGCCACCGCCCCUCUAUACAUUCCUUCGGCGAGAAAGAAAGCAAGAUCCUUCGGCGAGAAAGAAAGCAAGAAACGUGUUCGGAUAGGGGAGGAAUUGAGUACCUGCCCCCCUACUAAGCAUAAGGGUAUGACCAGCCAGAUCCGAUAACAGCGAUUCUCCGUCUCUGACCUGGAGUUAGAAUAUAUACUGAUCUACAGACAUUUGACCUGGAGUUAGAAUAUAAUAUAUACUGACAACAUUAGCCCAAAAUGCAAUGAUAGCUCGCAUUAUUCAUAGUAAGUCGAUACAUCAUGCUUUUGAGGAAGCUAUUCGGCUCCCUAUUUAUACAUUCUUUCCGUUUGAUGGGCGUGUUCUCGUUUCUAGGUUUGGAUGUUAUUUCAUAAGGGUAUACAAUAAUGACAUUACGUCAAUACAUUCAUCUCAUCUUUUUACGUCAAUACAUUCAUCUCAUCUUUCCAAUCUCUGAAUUCUUGAUCCGCUCAUGCCUCUCACUUUAUGCCUUCCAUUCGACUCCUACACGAAGAAGUCUGACCGUACUUUAUGCCUUAUAUUCGGCUCCUACCUUACCAAGUCCGACCGGGCUUUUCGUUAUCAACUGCUUUCUUUCUGACUUCCAUAUUUGUAUCGUGGGCUUGAGUCCGCCUACGAGUCUAGAUUUACCGUUCGGUACACAUAGCUUUGACUAUCGAAGGAUAGAACAGAACCUAUAGCCUAUUCAGUAUAAGCAUCCUUAUAGAACCUAUAGCCUAUUCAGUAUAAGCAUCCUUAGGGAGGGAAAGUAUAUAUAAGGGGACUCGCCCAAAAUACUGAGACAAUAUCUCAAUUCUUUGCAAUUCUUUUGACUUUUGGGAUUGAAACCCACUUACGGGAAUAAGGCAAGUUAGAUAUUUCACACAAGCUUGGCACCCGGGGGAAUAAGGCAAGUUAGAUAUUUCACACAAGCUUGGCACCCAGGAAUAGGCGUUUUAUGGAUGAUUCAAGCCCUGCACACUCAAAGGCGAGAACGAAGUAGCAAGUCCAAAUGCGUUACCACCAAAUCCAGAAAAAUAGUCAUCAUCCUUAUGGAAUUGAAACCUAAAUCCGCCCAGAUGAGAAAGAAAGAAAAUAUGUUUAGCCACUGUGGGAUGACUAGGCAGGAAGCUAGAGAUGCGCCUGCACAUUGGCGAUACUUGUUUGCAGGAUGAUCCAAUCUCUGAACAACGUAAUUGGUUGAGGUUACUUUGUCCGUCGUGGUGUGAACUGAACCCAUUCACUAGUUUUUAGAAUACUCAAUCAAGGAGCUUAGGAAUGGUUUAAGGUUGAUGAGGCGGAACCAGAAAUGCUACCCACACCGGAAAGAUUGCCUGGGGCUGAUGCUUACUGUGAUGUGGCCUACUUGUAUACUAGUGUUACAUGAGGAUACCCGGAAUCUAGAAUGGCAUGUUCUAUAUGUUAAAGACAUCACUGUUGCGGAAGUGGCAUUGAGGAUGCUGAAGCCACCACUGGUUGUUUGUUCACACAGGGAGAUUGAAGUGGGCCUAUGCUUCGAAAGGGGCGUAGCGGAAUCAGGCGACUUGCCCCUGGAGGAAUUCCUUCUUCUUAGAGUGGAGGCGGAUCUCACUCUUUUGACAAAUGCCCAGAAGCGUCUGUAUACUAGUGAAGGUUAGAACAGGGUGUCGAACUAGACUGCGUCUAUCGAAUCGCCUCUGUAAAGUGAAGUAAAGGCUGGAUGCCGAGAAUCCUAUAUCUAUCUAAGAAGAGCAGGCAUGUGUGGCACUUUAGGACAAAACUCUGCAAGAAGGACCUUUCGUUUAAUAUGCCUUAUGUACUGUAUUAACCGGUCUUGGCAAGAACGCCUUCUUUCUUAUAGAAGCUGCGAUGAAGCGAAUCUAUCAUCUGGAACCCGAUCACAUUGCCCGCUUUACGGCUUGACUGCAUUACCUUCCAAACCUUACCUUUGUCCCUUAACAGCUGACUGCAAGCAUUCCUGGAGCUAGUAAUCCGCCAAAAAGAGAAGUCACUUCAUACAUACGCUCCUGGUGUUCGAACUACUAAUUAAUGGUCGGCUUAAUUAGUAUCCGGAGAAGAAGAGGUGAACGAAGCUAAUGCGUUGCGAGAAGCUUCAUCGACUAUCGAAUCAAUCUAGAAACUAGUGUUUGACUCGCCGUGUAGCGUUAGUCGAGUUACUUAUACUUCAUCAGCAUUAAGUAGUGAGCUCUUCAAUUCCUAUGUUAUGUUAUAUGCCGAUCAGUUCAUCAAUUCCCAUUUCCAAUUCAUUCUCAUUCUUGGGGUUUCUAUUCUUUCCAAUUCAUUCUCAUUCUUGGGGUUUCUAUUCUUAUAUAUGUGUAGAAGUUCAAUUCCUGGGUAAGUCACUUGGCUAUAAGCAUCAGCCACGAGAUUAGCCAAAGCACAAAAAAACUGCUCGAGACACUAGGCCAACCAAGAUGGAUAGCAUAACUCUUGACAUCGAAACGAGUUUGUUCACAGUACCCCCGAGACAUAUCAUUUUCUAGAAACAUACGAAAUGGCUGACACAGCCCUAAGAAUAUGAGCGGAUUUCUCCUCUCGAACGGAGCCUUCUCGAAUUCUUUGAUUAUGAUCCCAGACCGAAUCAGUUAGCAGAAACACAAGAGGGUCUCACCCGGUGGUGCAUCUCUUGCAUCAUACGCUGGCCCAGACCCCAUUGCGGAUGGGAAAAAGAAUAACCCUGUAGCAUCUCAUUCUGUCUUCGGGUCUUGGUGAGUACCCACGCAAUGGCAGUCACGUACAGUAAACAUGGUUUGCUAAACAUAAUGACAAAUGCUGCGGCCAGUCCGCUAUAAGCAAAUACAGGCCAUGCCACUAUUCACAAAAAGAGGAAGAAAGGAACAAUAAACAGUUCGAUCAUCCAGCGGUGAACAACCAAUUCGACGUUGAUUAUUCAAUGAUGGCACAUACCUAAGUAUUGGCAAACGGCAGACAGGGAAGCCGAAAGUCCCGUCCCCUCUUUUUGACGGGUGUGAGCGAUUGCUAAUCAGUAAAAAGCCGAAUGAAACAACUUGCUGACAAAGGAAGAACUGAUAGAGAGUUCCACAUGGGUGAUUGGGUGGAUCUAAGGCCCGGACUUGACUCUCCUUCUCAGCUGCAUUCAGUCAAAGGUUCAAGCCCUGGCUUACUUGGGCUCACCCUGCUAGUGGUGGGUUCGUUCUGGCGGACGAAUAAAAGCCCUGGGAGAAAUCCGAUUCCUCAAUACUACUCCACUCGUGCCUGAAUAGGAAGCCAGAGUCCCUUUUUGUAAGUGGGCAAAGUAUCAUUUUUCAAAGAAGUCUCAAAACGAUCGAAUUUCUUGUACGAAGUCAUUUUCUCACUUACGGAAGGUGGGCAAGGGAGUCAUUCAUAUACUUACCUCCGAUCUGAAUUUGCUGUUCCAGUCACUGAUAAGAAAAGAGAGAAAACGGACUCCUAAUAUCAGAAUCAGAGAGAAAACGGACUCCUAAUAUCAGAAUCAAGUAAGAGGAAUACAGUAUACAAACCUCUUUCUUAUUCUUAGGUUAUGAGUGAGAGCCAUCAUGCAAGGAGUCGAAAUACAAUGGGCAAGCAAGCAAGCUUAUUUCGCGCAGUCAAACAAGAUACAGUUACAUUCUAUACAUUAUGUCGAAGCUUUCCACUCUGCCUUGUCUUCUUAUCUCGAAGCUUUCCACUCUGCCUUGUCUUCUUAUCUCAGGGACUGGUACCCAAGUUUAUACCUGUUUGAAAGCUUCCUUUCGACUUGGAAAAAGAUGUAGGACGGGCCGCUUAAGUAAGAGACUCGAGCUACACACAUCUGCUGGCCUCAGAGCCCUUAGUACUUGAUGAAAGUAGAACACCCAGCCCAAGGGGUUGACGUGUCCAAAGGAGAGAACGAGACAAAGAGGGCCCGGAGCCUCGGACGGUGUCCUUCCUUAUCGAACCAAUACACGAUUCUUCCUCUAUAUGUGACAUGGCCCGAUGGUAUUUUCACAUGACAACGGAAGGUGUUCAGCGUGUUUCAGCCUCGCGCGCAUCUCCAGAGCAAGGUUGCAGACUCUGCGGAAGACGAAUCGGAAUCAGCAUCUAGUCCGGGGUCAUAACCUCUCGAAUAAGUUGUGACCGGCCUCCGUUACUGAGGAAGCUGCCUUAUAAAGAGAAUCUAGUAAGAUGAAGUCAAAUAGAGUUAUUACCAAGCAAGUCCUUUCUUCGUCAUCUGAAUCUGCCUCCAGUACUUCACCUCUUUGCUUAUAUGCCUAAUGAACUUGCCUUGCGCCUUGCUAGGAGUUCGUUCGUUGCCUCAUUUCGUUUUUCUGUAAGAUCCUAAUUCAGGCUCAUUCACUUGUUGUGAAACAAUAGGUUGGGUAGGGCAGAAGGUUGAGUAUCACUGGAAAGAGCUAUCUAUUUCGGCUACUGAGCAAGGCGACGGUAGAUGCCAGUUUGCGGAAUACUUGGAGUUCGAAGUGGCAUGGAUCUAAUGAGCUAUUCCUCGCAUCUCAUCCUUUAGAAUCAAAUAAUCAUAUUGAAUAAGGCAAUUCCCACUAAUCCUCAUGUCCUGUUUUUUUGAUCUCUUCUCUUCGUCAUCCCGCUUAGAAUAACUAUCAGAAUAAAGAGCUUGGAUUCUAUAUACCACCAGCUUUCCUUGAGCAGAUAGGACUGUAAACUGACAGACUAGCUUCGAAAGAACCUACCCAGGGGGCGAUCCUCAUCUCGUUCACUCAAAGAAGCCUAGCUCCACUUUCUUUCUUAUACCAGUAACCGGAGUAAGCCUUUCGCUCGUCCCUUCGCACGUGCAUCUUUAUAUCCCCGGGCAAGCAAUAGAGCAUUGAUUCUUUCCCUCGCUCCCGUAAGUCACUUCGUUCCCUAGCCUUUUCCUUCUAGGCUUCCAGUAGUCCUUCCGUAACCAAGAGAAACCAACCCUAGGAUAAGACCAUGCUACCAGGAAAGGAAAGCCUACCUCGGAAAGGAAUUUCACCAUGAGUUCACGGAUCAGAAGGAACCCAUCCCGUCUUUCAUUAAAGAGCAAUGGUCUACGACUACGACUCCGCUGCUUGGGAGAGCUCCUUUGUGAUUUUCUUUCUUAGGAUAACAGAUCUUGUAGGAUAACAGAUCUUGGUUUUUCACCCGCACCAGACAUAGCAGCCUUUAGUUUCAGUUCUCGGUCCUUUGAAGAUUGGGCAAUAAGCACAUCCAACCAAACCCAAUAUUACUAAACGUUCUGAGUCUUGUCGUUGGACUAAUUACGUCUUCGGUCAUGGUGCCCAUCAUUACACUUUUGAGUAUUUCGGUCUGUUCUUCUCCAGGUAACGUACUCAGAGUUCAUUAUCUCAGCUUUGUCAUCAGUCUCAACUCAAGCUUUGGUUCUUUUCUCACCGAAACUUAUAAGAUCUUGUGCUUUCAAUAAACGACAUUUUGAUAGUUUCCAUUUUCUUGAUAACAAAUUGACGAUGGACGGGAUACUCACUAAGUGCUGAGGAGAAGGAUACAGACACAGCGGUGGACAGCGCCAAAGAGAAAACACAUAACAAGCAGACCAACAGAACCAACUGAACGUUUCCCAAGAGCUAGUGCUCUGAUACCAUGAAAGAGUGGAAAACACUUGGAGCAGCGUCUGCAUCCGAUCUUAUAGAAUCUUUGUCCUGCAAACAACCUAUUCUUACAAAAGAAAAGUCAUAGUGCUACUUACUCCUGCUAAUGCUAGUGCUACUCCUAACAGCGCUUAUUCCGACAACAGCGAGAACAGUAGCUGGGGAUUCGAUUGCAGGUUUGUUUGAUUACCCUAACAGCCUUAUCGAGCAACCUACUCUAGCAGCUCCUUCUGGGCACACUAGUUUCAGAAGUGACUUGCCUUGCCUUCCCCAGCGUCGAAGUAAAGUUCGGAACUCUUUCUCUUAUAUAGGCGAUUUUGCCUUUGAAUCCCAUUCUAACCAUCUUCUUCUUCUGUGUAAGUAAAGACUAUCUGGGCCAUUCUCUUGCAUCAAUUCCUUGCUCCUCGAUAUUGGAAAUUGGGCAUUCGAGUCGAGAACAAGCCCUUGUAAUACCCCAUUGAAUCCAUCAGUAACGAAGAAGGAGUCCCAGUAGUCAAAUAGGCAUUCACUUCACUCGAACAGAAAGAAAGACCAAAAUGACCAUUAGCUGAACGGAAAGUGGGUCUGUCUACAAGAUGAAUACUCGAGAUCGUAAGAUGUGUUGGCAGUCUGGUUCCGCUUUCUCUGACGCCAAGAAUCUUCAUACCUCUUUCCUUUCUCUCUCGUGCCCUUCUCUUUUGAGCGGUAAAAAACAUCAAUUAGGAAUGAGAGCGCACUGCCGGAUCAUGAAAACGUUCUAAUCUACCAACAACCAGGGUUUACUUGAUUGGCUCUUUAUCGGCUUGACUAAACCCAUCUAUAAACCUUAAUGCCCUGAUAGUCCACUUAACUAAUCAAUUACAGAGCAUAUCCUUAUGCUUCCGACUAAGCCGUGCUUGCUACCCCCAGAAGCCACCUUUGAUCCUAAGUCGCAUUGAGAAUAAGUGAUAGGAAUUUCUCUGCACUAAAGGAUUCUGCCCGAGUCCCCCAAGCCACAAUGAUAAUAGUAGGUCUUCCUCCUUAUGAUUAUGUCUGGCAAGCAAGCUAGCUUCCCUAUUCAUGGAAGAUAUCUAAAGUAUUCCUAUUUAUUGCCUGAAGUGAGCUACAAGACUGAUACUGAUACUAGCUUUUGCUUGCGCUUCUUCUCAGACUACGGCUUGCCCGCGAUAACCCUACUGAGCUUCAUUAAGCUGUUGGAAAAAAGGAAUGAAGAGUCAAAGUCAGUAUAAGCUCCCUAGGAUUGAGAUAGAUACGAGACUGGCCAGCGAACCACUAAAGGACCCGAGACUGAACCCCAGCCUAGGCACUCCUACAACGGAUAGAGCCUUGACCCGGAUGACAUGAAAUGGAAAUCCAAAAAACGACAAUGAACUAUUGAAGCUAGAAGUGUGAUUGAUCAGACAAGUAUAAAGGGCUUUCGGUAUACUUCUUUCAUUUCCGAAUUAGCUUGCUACAAGUCCUAGCAUUAGUAUGACCGCGUAAGGGAAAUCCAUCAACAAUCAUUCCCCUCCAGAAGUAGAGUCCUCGUCCGCUUAUUCGAGAGCCUCUCUUGCGGGUUGAGUUCAUUCACAAAGAAACAGUCUUCUUCGAAAGUAUGCAGGUUAGCUUAUCUAUGUUCGUUUACACCUUGGCCUACCAAAGUUCUGAUGGAUUGGCAAACUCUAAAGUCUAGUUCGGUCGAUAAGAAAAAGCAUUGCUUUCCCACUUCGGUGAAUCUAUUGAUUCUUAGCGCCCCUACGAAAUAGUUCAGCGAGCUACCGUUACUGGAACUUCGACUUCACUUUCUUAGGCCGGAGAAGAUCGCCCAGGAGGGCUUGUAAAAAGCAUCAAAAUGAAGCAUAUUAUUUAAAGGCUGUCAUUAUUAAAGAUGGCACGGAUUGACUUAGUUGAUGAAGGGUCCGUGUAACCAUACCGACCGAAUUCGCACCUACUACCUAAAGCUAACUUCCUUCUUGGGGACCACUUUGUGUAUAACGAAUUUGACGCCCCAGAAUGUAUGGAAUGGUGUAAGCCGUCGAGAGAGAAGCCCUUAUUCAAUGCUUAAUUCAUAGGACAGAGCAGGUGUAGCGUAGCGUUCGUCGCGUACGACUUUCCAAUUUCAUUAGGCAAGUUCAUCAUUUCGUUUCGAUGCUUGGUUCAAAGCAACAAGGGGAUCGUCCCCCAAGUGAGCGCUUUCCGUUGAAACCACUCAACGGCCUGAGAGGAAUGGAUUGACCGAGCCGAGUGAAUGAAGGUUUCAUGAGUCUUGCCUGUCAUAGGCCAGUGAGACAGCAUCUCAUUAGGUAUCAAACUAGCAGGAUUGAGUGGUAGGUAUCAAACUAGCAGGAUUGAGUGGGUGGAAAUGUCAUCGGCUUAUAUUAUUGCAUUGCCCAUGAGACCCUAACUAAUGAGAGCCAGAUUUAGAUGCCUUUGCCCACCUUCCCCUUUAAGAUGAACAGGCUUUAUUAUUCCACACAACUAGAAAAGGAUCCCAACUUUGUCCAGCAUCCCAUAGUCAAACUAAAGGACAGACGUGAUGGCUGAUAUUGCUUUUUCCCUCAUGUUCACAGUGGGUUUCAUGGUUCUGAACCAAGAUUUCAAGGGAAAGACUUCAAUCGAUGAACUCCUUGCAGCAGAAAUGGAUUGCGCCUGAUAAAGGCAAUGAAAUUGUUCAGUGAUGAUCCGUACGGGAUUUCUUAUCUUUGGAUUUCGUUAUAGCCAGCAACGGAAUGAUUUUGGGCAAGCUGACGUCGCUCCCCUUUAUUUGACAGGGUCGGAGAAGGAGGUUGAAGCAAAGGCUGUUUACGCCCGGGCCAAGUAGACAAGAAACGAAAACGGUUUCAUUUAUGCCUCAACUGCAACAUUUCCAUAUUUGACUGAUGCGCUUGGUUUCUCUAUUCUGGCAAACAUGAAUAGAAUCUUUGGAAGUUCAGAUAGCCCAAGGAGCGGAACCUUAUCUAUACUUUGAACUCCUAACCGUGCAACUCAUGAAUGUCAAUUAGCUUAGACUAAGGGCAACUCUAUACCUAUCUCGCCAAGUUACUCGUAUACACCUCCGGCUCAUCUAACUAUAUCUCUUUGAACUCAGGCUACAAUGAAUUGAACCCUGCUUGCUCCUCUAGACCCACAGCCUGUAUUCGUUGCUUGGCCCCUAGUGGAUUGGCC
rnacentral:lncRNA from 1 species